AGCCUGCCCAGUGACUAAUGUUCAACGGCCGCGGUAUCCUAACCGUGCGAAGGUAGCGUAAUCACUUGUUCUUUAAAUAAGGACUAGUAUGAAUGGCACCACGAGGGUUAUACUGUCUCCUUUCUCUAAUCAGUGAAACUAAUCUCCCCGUGAAGAAGCGGGGAUAUUUCUAUAAGACGAGAAGACCCUAUGGAGCUUUAAACUUCUUUUCAAACGCUGAAAUAUUAAUACAAGUCUCAGACUUACCCCCACACCCACCCAAGCGCCAUGAGAACGAUUUUAGGUUGGGGUGACCACGGAGCACAAAAAAACCUCCACGCUGAACUAGACGUCCAAACCUUGAGCUAAGAGCUACAACCCAACGCACUAAAAAAUUAACACCAAUUGACCCAAUAUUCAUUUGAUCAACGAACCAAGUUAC
rnacentral:rRNA from 1 species